GUCGGCCUCCGAGGAGGCAUCGAACGGACCCGGAGGGGACGUCUAGCCCCGCAGGCAGGAUCCGGCCGGGAGUGCGAGGAUACCAGCCCAAAGAGACCUGGACAGGCUGGACAGUCUGCAGAGCGUCAGUUUGGUUUGCCGUAUCGAUGACAUCAUUUGAAUCAGACCAAAUGAACAAGAGAAUCCUCGUCUGCAGCCCCCACCGAAAAAUAUUUAUUGAGAACAUCAAUCUGUCAACCAGUGGAUAUUUAUGUAUCGGCUAAAACAGCAUAAUUAGAUACUUUAUUAUUCAUAUCUGCUCAGUCUACUUUCAAAGGAUUUGAAGUGACAUAAAAUAAAUGACCAGUAUACAAUGAAUUUAAAAAAUUUUUGAAGGAAGAAAUUAUCGUAUCAAACAUCUGCAGUGAAAACAGCUACUGCAAUGAACGUAGAGCUCAGCUCUGAGUUUCCCGAUAGUCAAGGUGAAGAGGGAAAUAUGGAAACAUGUUUCCAUAUUUCCAUAUAUGUUGUAUAUUACCUAAUAAAAGGAAGUGUAUCCAUUUUUUCAGAAAAGACGAUAUUUUGGCCAACUAAGCAA